rnacentral:rRNA from 1 species
UUGACCCCUAAUCGGGGUUGCGGACAGUGCCUGGUGGGUAGUUUGACUGGGGCGGUCUCCUCCCAAAGAGUAACGGAGGAGCACGAAGGUGGGCUAAUCACGGUUGGACAUCGUGAGGUUAGUGCAAUGGCAUAAGCCCGCUUGACUGCGAGAAUGACAAUUCGAGCAGGUGCGAAAGCAGGUCAUAGUGAUCCGGUGGUUCUGAAUGGAAGGGCCAUCGCUCAACGGAUAAAAGGUACUCCGGGGAUAACAGGCUGAUACCGCCCAAGAGUUCAUAUCGACGGCGGUGUUUGGCACCUCGAUGUCGGCUCAUCACAUCCUGGGGCUGAAGUCGGUCCCAAGGGUAUGGCUGUUCGCCAUUUAAAGUGGUACGCGAGCUGGGUUUAGAACGUCGUGAGACAGUUCGGUCCCUAUCUGCCGUGGGCGUUGGAAGAUUGAAGGGGGCUGCUCCUAGUACGAGAGGACCGGAGUGGACGAACCUCUGGUGUUCGGGUUGUGUCGCCAGACGCAUUGCCCGGUAGCUAAGUUCGGAAUCGAUAACCGCUGAAAGCAUCUAAGCGGGAAGCGAGCCCUGAGAUGAGUCUUCCCUGAUACUUUAAGUAUCCUAAAGGGUUGUCGGAGACUACGACGUUGAUAGGUCAGGUGUGUAAGUGCUGUGAGGCAUUGAGCUAACUGAUACUAAUUGCCCGUGAGGCUUAACCAUACAACACCCAAGGGGUUU